UUAAAAAAAAGGAGUCGUUGACCAACUUCUCUCCCUGACUUUGCAUUACUUUUUUUAACUGGCAAUUGCAGAAUAGAAGCUGAAUCUCGCAUUGUUCCUGCUGCAAGUUCACGAGGCUUUUGAGCUUUACAGUCACUGCUGCAAGUUCCUACAUUUCGUACUUUCAAAGGCUUUUAUAGGUACCAAAAGUUCGUCUUCAUUUACUCCACAAUGGAACUACGAUGUCUUCCUCAGCUUUAGGGAUGAGGAUACUCGAAAGAGUGUUACAGACCAUUUAUAUUCUGCGUUAAGACAAAAGGGUAUUUUCACCUUUAAAGACGAUGAAAAACUUGAAAGAGGAAAACUUAUUUCUUUAGAACUCUAGAAAGCAAUAGAAGGAUCAAAGGUUGCUAUUGUCAUUCUCUCCAAAAAUUAUGCAUCUUCUACGUGGUGUUUGGAUGAGGUUACAAAUCAUUGAAUGCGUGAAAGAGAUAGGAUUGACUGUUUUGCCAAUUUUUUACGAUGUGGAUCCAGUUGAUGUAAGGAAGCAGAUAGAGCUUUUUGCACAAGCCUUUGUUGAACAUAAAGAACAAUUUGAGGAAAACAUAAAGAAGGUGCAAAUAUGGAGAGUAGCUUUGAGAGAAGUGGCUGAUAUAUCGGGUUAUCAUUUGAUGGACAAGCAAUUAAUUUUACAUAUUUCUUUCUUUUCAACAUUCAUACUCACUCUUCUUAUUAUAUGUUGCCUUGUUUUGAACCUUAAGCAUAGCCAUAUACAAGUCGGUAAUUCUUUCAAGUUUAUUUAUGAGCUAAGCAAUUUACGUAUUUCUGUAUUUGACAUGAGAUGUCUGCUCUUGUUAUUUACUUUUAUUUCUAGACAUAUCAUGUAUUGUUCAUUUUUCAUUGUAGGUGUGAGUCAAAAUUUAUUCAAGAUAUUGUGGGGGUGAUUUCUCAUAAAUUGAGUUAUGCAUCUACAUAUGCCAAGAACUUAGUAGGAAUAAAUUCUCGAGUUGAAGAACUGAAGUUGCAUUUAGCUAUUGGGUCAAACGAUGUUUGCAUUAUUGGGAUUUGGGGGAUGGGUGGAAUGGGUAAGACAUAUCUUGCUAGAGUUGUUUAUGAUAUGGUCUCUAAUAAAUUUGAAGGUGGUUCUUUUAUCGCUAAUGUUAGGGAAAUUUGUGAAAAAGAUGGUUUACUUCCAUUAUAGCAAAAACUUAUUCAUCAAAUUUUGAAGGAAGAAAAUAUGAAGAUACAGGAUAUUGAUGGUGGAAUUCUUAUAAUCAAGAAUAGGUUAUGUAAUAGAAGCAUUUUCCUUGUUCUUGAUGAUAUAAAUCAAUUAGACCUAUUAAACAAUUUAGUUGGGGGACAUGAUUGGUUUGGUCCAUGUAGUAGAGUUAUCAUAACAACAAUAGAUAAACAUUUGCUAAAAACACUUGAAGUAGAUGAAAUAUAUGAGGUUGAAGGAUUGAAUGAUGGUGAAGCUCUUCAUCUUCUAAGUUUAAAAGCUUUUAAACAAAACCAUCCUCCUCAAGAUUAUUUAGAGUUGUCCAAACAAGUUGUUCAUUAUGCUUAUGGUCUUCCUUUAGCUAUUGAGACUCUUGGUUCCUUUUUGUUCAAUAGAAGAAAUGAUGAAUGGAAAAGUGCAUUGAAUAGGCUCAAGGACUAUCCUAAAAGAAAAAUUCUUGAAAUACUUCAAAUAAGUUUUGAUGGAUUACAUGAAACAGAGAAGGAAAUAUUCUAGCAUAUUGCAUGUUUCUUUAAUUUGCAACCUAUGUAGUAGAAAUACUAGAUUGUCUUGGCCUUUACCCUGAUAUUGGAUUAAGGGUUCUCAUUGAAAAAUCUCUCUUAAAGAUUUAUCACAAUAAAUUGUUGAUGCAUGAUUUAUUACAAGACAUGGGCCAGGAUAUAGUUCGUCAAGAGUGCCCUAAAAUGCCAAGAAAGCGUAGCAGGCUAUGGCAAUAUAAGGACAUUAACCAUCUGUUAACAGAAAAUAAGGUAAAAGUUUAUUUAACAAAUUUUAUAGGAUAUAAUAUAUCAAUAAUAUUCAACAUAGUUUGAAUUUGAAUGGUUACGCUCAUCAUAUGUUGUGAUUGCUAAUCCAUUUUUUUCUUAAUUAUUAGGGAAUAGAAGUAGUUUAGGGACUAGUUUCAAACUUUCCUAUACCAAAAGAGGUACAUUGAAACCUAGAAGCCCUAUCAAAUAUGCCUCAACUUAAAUUGCUCAUAAUUUGAAAGGUUCACCUUUUGCGUGGCUCCAAACAUCUUUCUAACAAGUUAAGGUUCCUUGAUUGGAGUGGGUACCCUUCAAAAUCGUUGCCUUCAAGUUUCCAACCAAUGGAACUUGUUGAUCUUCGCAUGUGCUACAGUAACAUUGAACAACUUUGGAAAGGAAUAAAGGUAAGAUUGUUACGUAAGUACCCUCAUCCCUCAUACAUAAUUGUUUGUAUUUAUAAAUAAAUUAUUAGGUUUAUUGAAGCUAAACCUUUUUUUUUACAUAGUGUUUUGACAGUUUGAAGUUCAUCAAAUUGAAUCAUUCUCAAAAUUUGAUUGUAACUCCUGACAUCACUAGAGUCCCAAAUCUUGAGAAAUUGAUUGUUGAAGGUUGUACAACUUUUUGUGAGGUUCAUUCAUCAAUUGGAGUUCAUAAAAGGCUUAUCCUUCUUAAUUUGAAAGGUUGCAAAAGCCUUUGUAAUCUUCCAUGCAAGUAUGAAAUGGAGUCUCUUGACAUUCUUAUUUUUUCUAGAUGUUCAAAAAUCAAGAAUAUUCCAACAUUUGCGGGAAACAUGAAAUGCUUAUCCAAGCUUUAUAUGGAUGGAACUACUAUUACAAAACUACCCAUGUCAAUUGAGCACUUGACUAGCCUUAAAUCAUUGAGUUUAAAAGAUUGCAAAAAUCUUGUGUGCAUUCCUAGCAUCAUAUGCAAUUUUAAGUUGCUCAUGGAUCUUGAUAUUUUAGGAUGCUUAAGACUUGAAAAGCUACCAGAAAACUUGGGGAAAGCCAAAGGUUUAGAGGAGCUUCAUGUGAGUGGAACUGCAAUAAAGAAAUCACCUUCUUCCAUUGUUCUCUUAGAAAAACUUGAAGUACUAUCUUUUUGUGGAUGUAAAGGGCCAUUGUCUAAAUUAUGGAAUAAAGCCCUAAGUUUUGAUUUAAAGUCAAGAAAAAGUCUAGAUCUUGGGGGCUUGCCAGUGCCUUCUUUGUCAAGUUUGUCUUCUUUGAAAACACAGGAUCUAAGCGAUUGCAAAGUUCAAGCAAUUAGCUUGGCUGCCUAUCCUCUUUACAAGUACUAGAUCUAAGCAAAAAUGAUUUUGAGUUCAUUUCGGAAAGCAUCAUUCAACUAUCAAAUCUUAAAGAACUCUACCUGUUGAAUUGCACUAGUCUCCGUUCAUUGCCAAAGCUUCCUUCGAGUAUUCGUUAUUAUUUGGUAACUGGUUCUUCCUCAUUGGAAAGAUUACCGGAUCGACCAAUGCCAAAAGCUUCACUUGAGUUAUCUCUUAGUCUUUCAUGAUUGCUUUAAAUUGCUUGACAUUGAAGCCCACAAUGAAGAUUCAUUUAAAAUUCUGGGGAGGGCUAGUCGGGAAAUUUGUAUUCAUGAUUCGAAUGUAGGUAAGAUUGAUCUUGUUAUUCCUGGAAGUGAAAUUCCAAAAUGGUCUAGGCAUCAAACUGUUAGCAUAACCAGUAAAGAUAAAAUCAAGUUUGUUAGAGAUGAUAAUCAGGCUAAGAUUGUAUCCAACACCAGAUUGCAGUCCGUACCAGUAGAUUAGUAUUAUGCUAGAUAGGUGUAAUCAUGAUUGUAAAGUUUAUCUUUAUCUUUUCCUUUUACUUGUAAUUAUCACAUUCUUUAGUGAUAUUUAUCACUUGUAUAUUGA